GCAGUAGCCGCGGUAAUACGAGGGGUGCAAGCGUUAUUCGGAUUGAUUGGGUGUAAAGGGUGUGCAGACGGCUUAUUAAGUCACUUGUUAAAUUCUUCGGCCUAACUGAAGGUCUGCAAGUGAUACUGAUGAGCUAGAGGGUGGAAGAGAGAAGUGGAAUUCUCGGAGUAGCGGUAAAAUGCGUAGAUCUCGAGAGGAACACCAAUGGCGAAGGCAGCUUCUUGGUCCAUUCCUGACGUUCAUACACGAAAGCGUGGGGAGCAAACAGGAUUAGAUACCCCCGUAGUCCCUGUCUCUUAUAC
rnacentral:rRNA from 1 species